rnacentral:rRNA from 1 species
AUUGAACGCUGGCGGCAGGCCUAACACAUGCAAGUCGGACGGUAGCACAGAGGAGCUUGCUCCUUGGGUGACGAGUGGCGGACGGGUGAGUAAUGCCUGGGGAUCUGCCCGAUAGAGGGGGAUAACCACUGGAAACGGUGGCUAAUACCGCAUAACGUCGCAAGCCCAAAGAGGGCGACCUUCGGGCUGCCCCCUAUCGGAUGAACCCAGAUGGGAUUAGCUAGUAGGCGGGGUAAUGGCCCACCUAGGCGACGCUCCCUAGCUGGGCUGAGAGGAUGACCAGCCACACUGGAACUGAGACACGGUCCAGACUCCUACGGGAGGCAGCAGUGGGGAAUAUUGCACAAUGGGCGCAAGCCUGAUGCAGCCAUGCCGCGUGUAUGAAGAAGGCCUUCGGGUUGUAAAGUACUUUCAGCGGGGAGGAAGGCGGCACGGUUAAUAACCGUGCCGAUUGACGUUACCCGCAGAAGAAGCACCGGCUAACUCCGUGCCAGCCGCCGCAGUAA